UACGUAGGGUGCAAGCGUUAAUCGGAAUUACUGGGCGUAAAGCGUGCGCAGGCGGUUGUGCAAGACAGAUGUGAAAUCCCCGGGCUUAACCUGGGAAUGGCAUUGGUGACUGCACGGCUAGAGUGUGUCAGAGGGGGGUAGAAUUUCACGUGUAGCAGUGAAAUGCGUAGAGAUGUGGAGGAAUACCGAUGGCGAAGGCAGCCCCCUGGGAUAACACUGACGCUCAUGCACGAAAGCGUGGGGAGCAAACAGG
rnacentral:rRNA from 1 species